UGACCCCAGGUCAGGCGGGACUACCCGCUGAGUUU
rnacentral:rRNA from 1 species